rnacentral:pre_miRNA from 9 species
UCUCUAUAACGUAAAAGUUAACUCAUAUUUGUAUGGAGUGGGCUCGUUUGCGUACGUUUGCCGCUAGGGGCGCUGUUCCAACUGCAUACAAAAUUGGCUUAACUUUUACGCUAUCGA